rnacentral:misc_RNA from 1 species
GAUGAAGAACGUAGCGAAAUGUGAUACGUAAUGUGAAUUGCAAAUUCAGUGAAUCAUCGAGUCUUUGAACGCACAUUGCGCCCCCUGGUAUUCCGGGGGGCAUGCCUGUCCGAGCGUCAUUGCUGCCCUCAAGCACGGCUUGUGUGUUGGGCCCCGUCCUCCGAUCCCGGGGGACGGGCCCGAAAGGCAGCGGCGGCACCGCGUCCGGUCCUCGAGCGUAUGGGGCUUUGUCACCCGCUCUGUAGGCCCGGCCGGCGCUUGCCGAUCAACCCAAAUUUUUAUCCAGGUUGACCUCGGAUCAGGUAGGGAUACCCGCUGAACUUAAGCAUAUCAAUAGCGGAGGA